rnacentral:rRNA from 1 species
GACGAACCGUGCAAACGUUGUUCGGAAUCACUGGGCUUAAAGGGCGCGUAGGCGGGCAAGCAAGUCGAAGGUGAAAUCCCACGGCUCAACCGUGGAAGUGCCCCCGAUACUGCUUGUCUUGAGGGAGAUAGGGGCGUGCGGAACUUCCGGUGGAGCGGUGAAAUGCGUAGAUAUCGGAAGGAACACCGGUGGCGAAAGCGGCGCGCUGGAUCGU